GUCUAGUUCUACACUCAGGGAGCUCCUCCACAUCUGUAGCCCCUUCAUCAAACGAGCCUGCCUUAUCACCGGCUAUGUAGUGAUCAUCGUGUCUUUCAGGCUUUGGCUGAUGGGAGGAUCCAUGCCGCUUUUUUCUGAACAAGACAAUCCCGCCUCCUUCUCACCUCACUUUCUCACCAGGUUUUUAACCUACUCAUAUUUGCUGUCCUUUAAUGCCUGGUUGCUGCUGGCCCCCAUUGUGCUGUGUUAUGACUGGCAGGUUGGCAGCAUUACGUUGGUGGAAUCGCUGGGUGAUGUGCGCAAUGUGGCCACUAUGCUGCUGGCUGUAGUGAUGAUUGCUUUAUGCCUGCACUGCAUCUUUUCACUGCAGGUAAGA